rnacentral:rRNA from 12 species
UUUAGAGGAAGUAAAAGUCGUAACAAGGUCUCCGUUGGUGAACCAGCGGAGGGAUCAUUA